rnacentral:misc_RNA from 1 species
CACUGGCAUUGCAAACGAAAAAACGAAAAUCGAGUGUGAGAGAGCGCAAGGAAGAGAGCAGCAGGGCAGGGGUAUAAUGGGACACCAGAANNNNNNNNNNNNNGGAGGAGGCGCUGCUAAACGGAGUGGCUAAGCACGGUCCUGGCAAGUGGAAGAACAUUCUCAAAGAUCCCGAUUUUGCUCCUUUCCUCACUCAACGCUCUAACAUCGACCUCAAGGACCCAGAUUACAAAUGGCGGAAUUUGAGUGUUAGUAAUUCUGCACAAGGUUCUAAGGAUAAAGCAAGGGCACAUAAAAUUAAAACUGUAACAGUAACUCCACCCUCCAAUGCGCCAAACUCUG